ensembl:lncRNA
CCGCUGAGUCUGGGGGGCUGAAACCACAGAGGCUGCAGACCUGGUUCUUACACUCUGUGCAGUUACUGUAAUUGGGUGUGUCCUUAGACCCGAUGUUCAGCUGGGUGGUCUUACACAGUGGACAGAGUCCACCGCCGGGCUUUCCAGCCACCGGCUGACCAGGAGGACCUCCGCUCUUUGCUGAUUCUCCAGGAUGAGCCCCAGGGCCUGGUGGCCCUUGCUGUUUGGGCCCAGGUCCUUGUUGAGGAGAUGCACCUUUUUGCUGGGGAGGGCCAACCGGUUUGGUGCCUUGACCUGGUGGACCUUGACCAGGUUUGGGGCCUUGUCCCCCCUGGGGUUCGUGGCCUGGGUGACCCUGACCUUGCCUGGGGGCCUGCCCAGGGGGUCCUUGUCCUGGAGGAACCUGGCUUGCGUUGGGACCCUGGCCUGGUGUCCCUUGACCUUGCCUGGGUCCUUGGCCAUGAGGACCUUGACCUGCGUUGGGACCCUGACCUGGUUGUCCCUGACCUUGUCUGGGUCCUUGCCCAGGAGAUGCUGGACCAGACGGACCCUGACCUGCAUUGGGCCCCUGGCCUGGGGGUCCCUGACCUGGCCUGGGUCCUUGUCCCGGAGGACCCUGACCUGCCUUAGGCCCCGGGCCUGGUGGUCCCUGACCUUGUCUGGGCCCUUGGCCAGGAGAACCCGGACCUGCGUUGGGCCCCUUGCCUGGUGGUCCCUGACCUUGUCUUGGUCCUUGCCCAGGUUGUCCUUGACCUGGAGGACCCUGGCCUGGAGGUCCCUGACCUUGCCUUGGUCCCUGCCCAGGGGGUACUUGACCUGGCUUUUGCCCCUGUCCAGGAGGGCCCUGACCCUGUUUCGGAGGUCCUCCCUGUUGUGGUCCCUUAGGACCUGGCCCUUGCUGAGGGCCCUUGCCUGGUGGUUUUACUCCUUGCUUGGAUUCAGAUGAAUCUCCCUCCUCCUCAUCACCAAAUAGUCCAAACUUGGGGAUGUUGACAUUAUCGCCCAUAGAGGAUAUGGAAGAGGAGACAGAGGAGGUCAUAGAUGACACAGCACUGAGAGGGUUGGCCCCGCUGAGGAAGCUGGAUCCGAACAUGCCUGAUGACUUGGUCUCUGGGUCUUUAGGCUCCUGCCGGAAUCUCGAUUCAAAAAGGCUGAGGGACGAGGGGCUGCGGCCCGGUGAGGGCUUGCCAGGCGGACCCUGGUUGAAGGCGUCUACAGUUCGACUCUUACUGAGACCUGGAGGGCCCCUGGAGGCCCCUACCAGCUGAGUACGCUGAUGGGUAUCAGAUACGGAUGUUCUGAAAAACAGAAAAAGAUAAGACAGUUGUUUGUUAGCAGUGCUUUUAUUGCUAUGAUUGAUUUAUGUUUACGUUGGCAGCGUAUGAAAAGGCCAAAUCUAUACCAACUCAGCAUCAUAAGCUGACCCAGGGUGAAAAUGAAAACACACCAAACCCUGGAUGAAACUUCAGCGAUCCUCUCCCAAGAUUUUCC